GGAGGUGUAGCUCAGUGGUAAAGUAUCUGCCUCGCAUGCAGAAGGUCCCAAGUUCAGCCCUUGGCAUCUCCA